UACUGGUGUAAACAGGAGAUUGACAUCAA
rnacentral:piRNA from 1 species